rnacentral:tRNA from 1 species
GGUUCUAUAGUGUAGCGGUCAUCACAUCGGAUUCUGAUUUUCUCAGGAUCUUCCGGGAACCCCGGUUCGAUUCCGGGUAGGACCU